AUAAAAUGUUUUGGGCAUUUUUACCCAAAAAUAAUUCCACCUUGUGUGCAUCGUUUAAAUGUUAUACUUUGGUAGCGUUUUGAUUCUUUCGGGAGUCAACUUCUUGCUAACUCUAUCCUUUUUUUUAAGGACAGUUGACUAUGAAGCGGCCUACCAAAGUUUUUUAUCAAACACAUUUUAACUUACCUGACCUUAAUAUAUUACUAUAAUUAAAUCA
rnacentral:misc_RNA from 1 species